rnacentral:rRNA from 1 species
UACGUAGGGUGCGAGCGUUAAUCGGAAUUACUGGGCGUAAAGCGUGCGUAGGCGGUUCGCUGUGUCCGAUGUGAAAGCCCCGGGCUUAACCUGGGAAUGGCAUUGGAAACGUGGCGGGCUUGAGUGUGGCAGAGGGGGGUGGAAUUCCGGCGUGUAGCAGUGAAAUGCGUAGAGAUGCGGAGGAACACCGAUGGCGAAGGCAGCCCCCUGGGUUAACACUGACGCUCAGGCACGAAAGCGUGGGGAGCAAACAGGG